ACUAAAUCGUUGAUAAGGAGAUAAAACUAUAAGUGCACUUGCAGAGAGUCAAUGAUGCUGAAAUAUUGACAGAACGCAUUAUAGUAAAAGUAGCCUUUGAGAGCAUGGGUGAACAAGGUUUAUAUACUUGAUUUUAUUCUUGUAUUAUAAAUCAUAAGUAGUUCAUGACGUUAGGAUUACGUUACAAAUCCAGAAUGUAUUUGCAUUUUUAAUGAGUGGGCUUUUAAGCCAAUUAGGGUGGUACCGCAGGAAUAAAUCCUGUCCUUUGA
rnacentral:ncRNA from 1 species